rnacentral:lncRNA from 1 species
AUGUUUUCUCACAAUUUUUCCAAACAGCUACCUCAGCGGCCACCGUUGUUGGGGCCCCAACGUCACCUGCCGUUAUCCCUGAGCUCACGCGAGACACAAUCACCUGCCGAGACCAGGGCCAGGGUGAAGAGAGAGGUCACCAUGGCAGACGAGCAGAGCAUAGUGAAAGUAUUUUUCCUGAAUGAUGACCAACAAUGGGAAAUGCUAGGCAAGGGACAUGUCUCUACUAUUUAUGUGGAACGCCUUCAGGGCUUGUGUCUGCUAGUUCGAUCUGAACUUAGCGGCUUAGAGAUCUUGGAGUCAAAGAUAAAUCCAGACACGCCCUAUCAGAGACGACAAGGGACAUUAAUUGUUUGGUCUGAAGCUGAGAACCACGGUAUGGCGAUAAGUUUCCCGGACGCAGCAAGUUGUCACGAGAUAUGGAAAGACAUCUGCCAGGUUCAAGGUAAAGACCCAUCUACCGAUAUCACACACGACCCCUUAGUUGAAUCCGAAGACGAGACAUUGGAUGACGUGGCAGAUGACGUGCUUGAGCUGCCUAACUGUGAACUCGGUAAGCUUGACCAGAUUGCUCACUUAGUUACCUCAGUUCUCACCUCACCUCUGCGUAAGGAAAGGCUGGCUCUGUUAGUAGGAAAUGAGGACUUUAUUAAAAAAUUACUGCAGUUGUUCCACACGUGUGAGGACCUAGAGGACACUGAAGGCUUACAGAAUCUGCAUGACAUUGUUAAAGGGAUGUUAUUUCUCAACCAGGCAUCUCUGCUUGAGAUCCUCUUUUCUGAUAAGUAUAUCAUGGAUGUGGUGGGAUGCCUUGAAUAUGACCCUGCCUUGGCUCAGCCAAAAAGGCAUAGAGAAUUCUUAACCCAAAAAGUGAAGUUCAAGGAAGUUGUACCAAUAAUAGACCAUGCACUUCUGCAAAAAAUACAUCAGACAUACAGGGUACAGUACAUUCAAGACAUCCUUUUUCCUAUCCCAUCAAUAUUUGAAGAGAAUUUUCUUUCUACUCUUACAAAUUUUAUUUUAUUAAACAAGGGUGCGAUAGUCAAUAUGCUGCAGGAAGAUGAUAAGUUUUUGUCUACCGCUUUUGCGCAAUUAAGGGAUAAGACCACAGAUGAUGAUACACGGCGUGAGCUGUUAUUUUUUUUCAAGGAAUUCUGUGCAUUUUCUCAGACAUUAGUACCUGAAAACAGGAAUGCACUGUUCAAAACACUGACACAACUGGGAAUUCUUCCUGCUCUUAAAAUUGUAAUGAAUAUGAAUGACUUGCAAAUAAGGGCAGCUGCUACUGAUGUAUUUACUUAUCUAGUAGAGUAUAGUCCAUGCAGGGUUCGAGAAUUUAUAAUAGAAGACCACCAAAGUGAAGACAGCAUUCUUUUCAUUAAUUUAGUAAUUGAACAAAUAUUCUGUGAUACUGACCCUGAGCUAGGAAAUGCUGUUCAUUUAAUGGAAGUCCUUCGUGCCCUGCUUGAUCCAAACAACAUGAUGACAGCAUCUAGUCACUGUGAAAAAAGUGAAUUUCUACAUUUCUUCUGUAUGCAUUGUAUGAAUAACUUCAUAGAACCACUUUUGUCAACUACUUCAGCAUAUAUACAUGACAAGGAUAAUAUAGUUGGAUCUGACGAAAAUAACAUAAACUGUCUCAAUAAUUACCGCACAGCACAGCUGCUUGCCUUAAUUUUAGAUCAGCUUUCAUUUUGUGUGCAACAUCAUGCAUAUUACAUGAAAAAAUAUAUUUUGAACCAAGACUUGCUAAGAAAAGUCUUGAUCUUGAUAAAUUCCAAGCACACUUUUCUAAUCUUGUGUGCUGUUCGUUUUAUGAGAACGAUGAUUGGCCUUAGAGAUGAACUUUUAAAUCAUUACAUCAUCAAGGGAAAUUUUUUUGAGCCAGUUGUAAAUGCUCUUUUAGAGAAUGGAACUCGGUACAAUAUGUUGAAUUCAGCUAUUGUUGAGCUGUUUGACUACGUAAGAAUGGAAAAUAUCAAAUCUCUUGUUGCCCAUAUAGUUGAAAAGUUUUAUGCAACACUUAAGUCAAUUGAAUAUGUUCAGACAUUCAAAGGAUUGAAGGUGAAAUAUGAGCAAGAGAAAGAGCUGCAAAAUCAAGUAACGAAGAAUUUAUGUUCUGUACUGUAUAGUCAAGUAUUUUGCAGAGAUUCCGGUGUCUUUGAGGAGGAGGAGGAAAGGAGUAUUAAUGAAAAUAUAAAGGAAGAAGCAAUUGAGCCACCACCGGAAAGUGGUUUUGAGAUUAAAAGAGCAAAAGAAAAUGAAGACAAGGUAGAUCUUCCCUCUCAAACACCUUUUGGUGACUUUGAAUUUACUUCAUCUCAUUCUGCUGAUGCUGCUGAUGAAACAAGUAACCCAAACCGCAGAAGGGUGAUUUGCUUAGUGGAUUAUUCAGAUGAUGAAGAAGAAGAGGAAGAUGAAACACCUCCCAGCAAAAGACCACAUCUUAGCCCAUAA